GGAGAGCUAGCCUAAUUGGUAAGGCAGCAGUCUUGAAAACUGCCGUGUUUGCGCACUUGGGGGUUCGAGUCCCUCGCUCUCCG
rnacentral:tRNA from 1 species